rnacentral:misc_RNA from 1 species
AACGCACCUUGCGCCCUUUGGUAUUCCGAAGGGCAUGCCUGUUUGAGUGUCAUUAAAUUCUCAACUUCAAAAUUCUUUUGUUUUGAAGCUUGGAUGUUGGAGGUAUUUGCAGGCAUGCAUUAGUGUCAGCUCCUCUUAAAUGCAUUAGCAGAACUUUGUACGUUCGGCUCUGGUUUGAUAAAUCCUAUCUAUGCCAUUGCUGAAAGGUCAAUAGAUCAGCUUCUAAUUGUCCAUGUAUUUGGACUGUCUCCUCGGAGGCAUCACCAUUGACUUGACCUCAAAUCAGGUAGGACUACCCGCUGAACUUAA